AUUUGUGUUCCCUGGGUGGAAGGAGCAUGGGGAAAGGCAGAAUGUCAGGCUGAGGAAACAAUGUGUGCAAAGACAGAGGGACACAAAGUAGCAGUCAAGUUCAGGAAAUGACGAGAAGCUCCGCGUUAGGUGGGGCUCAGGCAAGAGGCAAGAGUUAAGACUAAGGAAAUAGCCAGAUAAGGAAGGGCUUAUAAACCACAUGAAGAAGUGUGGAUUUUAUUCUGAAGGCAGUGGGAAGCCACUAAAGAAGAGAAGAAAAGUAGUAGCAUACCAAUGUUGAUUUUAGAAGACGAGGCAGCAAAGAACCCAUGGUCAAGUGCAGCUCUCAGAGACAGUGAAAUGUAACCAGUGGUUACCCUAUUGUAAAUUGCAGACACCUUUGGACAAAUACAGCCUAUGAUUCUUCAAUAAGGAAAUGCAUUGAAAUGGGUGUUAAGAAGCAAGAUUCGUUUUGGGUUCUCCCCAGAUGAUCUUGGAGAAAGUCUGCUGCUGUGAAGGCUCAGCAGGGGCGGGAGAAUCCAAGAAGGAAGAAUUUAGCGUUGGUGCUCCCGCCACAUGGUCACACACCCUGCUACUGCUUUCUGCGUGGACUGCUGAGAUUCAAGGCAGCUGGAACCUGCUUGGUUCUCUUGACCCUUUGCAUCCUGGUGGGCUCUGAUGACGGAAAACGCUGCCUGCCUGCCUCUUCUCCUGGACUGACUCCCUAACGUCCUAAUGUCUGAGGGACAAAUCCUCGCGAUCUCUCGCCAAGGGAGCCCUCAGCCAGGACCCUGAAGGCCCACUGGUUGGCAAAGACAAAGCGAUACAUACCUGGUGUCUGAACAGCGAAGCUGUUUUCAAAGACCAGCUGAAUUGUAGCUCAGAAGAAAAAAAUGGAAAAGACAAGUAAACAUCCAGAAAUCUGGAAAGAAGAAAGAAAAUCUCAUGAAUGUAACUCUGACCUCAGCUGACUCAAAUAAAGGUGUUCAUUACCGAACGAUUAGAACCACCUACACAGGACAAAGUGAAUUUCUGAUCAACAGGUAGUAAUAGCAAACCCCCCUGAAAAGCUAAGAAGCAUUAGAGUGGAUUAUCCAUGAAGAGAGGAUUAGAAAAAGAGAGACUUGGAAUCCAGCAAACGAAACCCCAGCGGGCCAGCUGGCUAAUGUUUGGGAUAAUAAUUCCAAACGUAUUAAAAUAAAUUGUAAAAGAGAAAAGGCCGAAGGCAAUAAAAGCAAGCUUCACACGAUACUGUAUAUUGUGGAUAAAAUCAUGCACAUUCGCAAUAAUCACUUCCCCAGAGGCAAGCAAUACAGGCACCACCAGCAGAGCUGGGGAGAAUUUCAAGACACAAAGCCCGCUGUAUGCCAACAAGAGUUGCUGCAAGUGGGAGGACUUACAACAGAGUCUGCCUAAUAGCCACCGUUCUGGUCCGUUUUUUCCCUGUGGCCUGAGCACUGUCUCAUGCACGAUGUUGAAAUGGGAACGCAAUAGCAGGGUAGGCAACUUCACUCCUCCGCAGUCUUAAAUGCGGUAUUGCUCAAGGAUCUUAUUCCCCUAAGCAGGGAGAGAAAUGCCUUUUCUUUUUUCUCACUUAUGGAGUUUCUCCAGCGACACAGAUCAGCUCUUGUUGGUCUUGUUCACCUCAGCGAGUAGAAUUAAGAAGCUGACAGGAGCGUCGAGCCAUCCAUUUUUGUUUUUACCAUAUCCAGAGCCUGCCACCAUUUUUUAUCUCGAGUAUCUGCUAUUUUCUGGCCCGUUUGAGGUGGCCUUGUUACUUCUAGGAAAUCUGUAAAUGCUAUUUAUUGAAAUGCUCCCCAUAAUUUUUCCAUUUUUAGUUUAGGCCAAUGAAAUAUAACAACUGGCUUAAGCUAGGGGAAAAUCGUAGGGCUAAAUGUUUCUGUAAUUAUAGGCUCCUUCUUAAAUGUUUUUUUGUGAAGUCUGAAAUUCCUUUAUCCUUAAUUUUUGAGUAACUGAUGGAGUCCUUACUGAGGACUUCCCUUCCUGCGUUGAUUUGAGAGUGUGUGAUGAGUCCUCGGUUCAAGUUAGUACCGUUCAUCCAUCCAUUCCAUCUAAUUAUUAAGUACCUAACCCGCAGUGGGCACUGUUCAAGGUGAAAUGAGUACCAGAUGCAUAAAACAUGGUUCUAGUCUUCCAGCUUUUAUGGUUUAUCAGGGAAACAGACAUGCGAUGAGUAGUCAGAGCAAUGGUUUAAGAAAAAGAAUACAGGCUUUCAGAGAGUUCUACAGGAAAUCCAAAGAGAAAGCUCCUGAUUCUUUUUAACGAGGACUCAAAGAAAUCUCUGGAGACGAUUUGAACAUGAAUUAACCUCAAAGAAAGAGUAAGAAGCUAGAGGUCAAAGCUAUGCGGGGAAAGGACAUGCCAGGGAAAGAAGGAGAAGAAACGCAUGUGAAGAUUACCCCUAAGCUAACAUCUGCCACCAAUCCUCCUCUUUUUGCUAAGGAAGACUGGCCCUGAGCUAACAUCCAUGCCCAUCUUCCUCUACUUUAUUUGUGGGACACCUGCCACAGCAUGGCUUGACAAGUGGUGCAUAGGUCCACACCUGGGAUCCAAACUGGUGAACGCUGGGCCACUGAAGCGGAACACGCGACUUAACCGCUGAGCCAACAGGCUGGCCCCUUAUGUUAUUUUUAAUAUUGUUCUGGGUACAAUCUAGAGGAUUAUUUUGAUAAUCAGUAUAAAAUGUUUUUUGUUUCAAUGUACACAGAUAUGUGCUAUUUUUAUUUUUAGAAAGAAUUUUAUUUUUCAAUAAAAUUUGCAUAGAACUAUUAUGUAUGUCUA
ensembl:lncRNA